ACAUUUGAGGACACACCACCACUUGGAGAAAAACUACUCAUGAGUAGAGUUACAGCCUCAUUGCAAAGGUGGAGCAUUGCUGAGCUAGUGCUUAGAAUAGGGAGAGAGUGAGAGGUAGUUUGGGAGGAGUGCUGGGGUGUCGCCACUCUCCUCCUGGCUUGUACCUCUAUGGAUGUUGGCUUCCUUCGGAGUAUAGUAAGUUAGUAUUCAUGGUUCCUUCUUAUAGUGUUAUAAUUGGUUCUUAUAUGCAUGAGUGGUAUAUUAUCCUUGUUUGCUU
rnacentral:lncRNA from 1 species